rnacentral:lncRNA from 1 species
CAACAACAACAACAACUACCCAGUAUACUCCCACCAGGUCGGGUCUGGGGAAGGUAAUAUGUAGACAGCCUUACCCCUACCCAAAAGGGCAGAGAGGCUGCUUCCAAGCGACCCUCGGCGCAUAGGACAGAAUGAAGAGCUGCAUUGGAAAACAAAGAAGACAAAGAUAAAGUUAGGAACCCAGACAAGACAAAACACAGUAACAAAACAAAGCAUAAGUAAUCCUGUAGAAAUAACGUAAAUGAUUAUGCAAACAUAAGAAACAUAAAUACCGUCGCAUGCGACAAUAACNNNN